ensembl:snRNA U6 U6 spliceosomal RNA
AUGUUUGCUUUAGUAACACAUGUGUUCUAAAACUGGAACAAAAAGGGGAAAAUUAGCAUAACCUCUAUAAAAGGAUGACUAAUAAAAUCAUAAACUACUCCUUAUUUUU